CUACGUGCCAGCAGCCGCGGUAAUACGUAGGGUGCGAGCGUUAAUCGGAAUUACUGGGCGUAAAGCGAGCGCAGACGGUUACUUAAGCAGGAUGUGAAAUCCCCGGGCUCAACCUGGGAACUGCGUUCUGAACUGGGUGACUAGAGUGUGUCAGAGGGAGGUAGAAUUCCACGUGUAGCAGUGAAAUGCGUAGAGAUGUGGAGGAAUACCGAUGGCGAAGGCAGCCUCCUGGGAUAAUACUGACGUUCAUGCUCGAAAGCGUGGGUAGCAAACAGGAUUAGAUACCCUGGUAGUCCACGCCCUAAACGAUGUCGAUUAGCUGUUGGGCAGCUUGACUGCUUAGUAGCGUAGCUAACGCGUGAAAUCGACCGCCUGGGGAGUACGGUCGCAAGAUUAAAACUCAAAGGAAUUGACGGGGACCCGCACAAGCGGUGGAUGAUGUGGAUUAAUUCGAUGCAACGCGAAGAACCUUACCUGGUCUUGACAU
rnacentral:rRNA from 1 species